rnacentral:rRNA from 1 species
CCUACGGGGUGCACCAGUGGGGAAUAUUGCACAAUGGGCGCAAGCCUGAUGCAGCCAUGCCGCGUGUAUGAAGAAGGCCUUCGGGUUGUAAAGUACUUUCAGCGGGGAGGAAGGUGUUGUGGUUAAUAACCACAGCAAUUGACGUUACCCGCAGAAGAAGCACCGGCUAACUCCGUGCCAGCAGCCGCGGUAAUACGGAGGGUGCAAGCGUUAAUCGGAAUUACUGGGCGUAAAACGCACGCAGGCGGUCUGUCAAGUCGGAUGUGAAAUCCCCGGGCUCAACCUGGGAACUGCAUUCGAAACUGGCAGGCUAGAGUCUUGUAGAGGGGGGUAGAAUUCCAGGUGUAGCGGUGAAAUGCGUAGAGAUCCGGAGGAAUACCGGUGGCGAAGGCGGCCCCCUGGACAAAGACUGACGCUCAGAUGCGAAAGCGUGGGGAGCAAACAGGAUUAGAUACCCGCGGUAGUC